AUGAUUAAAAACACUUAAAAUAAUUUUUUUCCAAUUUGUGAUAUAAAAAUGCGCAUUAUCAUAUUCAAUAAAUAAACAAGCAAAAUCAAAGCUUCAAAUCAGUGUGUUCAGUUUUCCUAUAUGAUAACAAUUAUUGAUAAAUUCCUGAUUAUACAGUUUUGCCCCACAUACAGUAAUAGCUUUCCCCUAUCUAUGUAGAAAUAAUAGGUUGUAAAAUAAUAAUUCACUAAAAAAUAUACUUUUAAGUUUUAACUAUCAUUUACACUAGUUACAGGCGAAAUAUUAAAAUUAAAACAAGUUUCUUUUUUCAGUUCAAUUUAGAAAGAUUGGGAUGUAAUUUUCAUUUAUACUUCUCUGCUGUUACAUCAAAUAAUUUCAAAGACAACAUAAUAUCUGCAUGUAUGUAUUGUUGCCUUCUUACAUGAGCUUUCAGAAAUACAGCAAACCAAAUUUCUAUUUAGAAGAAUCCAUUUUAUGUUGUUACUUGUAACUUAUAAAAAAGAUGGGCAAGUGGAUGUCGCUCUGCUGUACAGUAGAUUACAAGUGGAUCACUGUAUAAUGGAUUGUAUUAAAUUGGAAUUCAAUGAUAUAAUUCAUUGUAUACGCAAAACGGUUCUUGUCAGUGUGGAUAUUUUAUAUUAUGUUUAUACCUAUUGUUAUUAGUAUUAUUAUUUAUUAGUUAUUAUUAAUAUGUAAGCCCUAUAAUUAAG